GUGCAGUUUACCCCAACCCACCUGACAGUCCAUCGUGUGACCCACACUUCAAUAGACAGGUUGAUUAAUCUCGAGCCCUGAUGAAGAUCCAAACCCCCGGAUCGAAACGUUGGCAAUGAUUUGAAAUUAUCAACAUUUUCAUGUGACUGAAAGCCGAAAAUCCUGAAAAUUAUAA